GUGGGGAAUAUUGGACAAUGGGGGGAACCCUGAUCCAGCCAUGCCGCGUGUGUGAAGAAGGCCUUUUGGUUGUAAAGCACUUUAAGCGAGGAGGAGGCUAUCGAGAUUAAUACUCUUGGAUAGUGGACGUUACUCGCAGAAUAAGCACCGGCUAACUCUGUGCCAGCAGCCGCGGUAAUACAGAGGGUGCAAGCGUUAAUCGGAUUUACUGGGCGUAAAGCGCGCGUAGGUGGCCAAUUAAGUCAAAUGUGAAAUCCCCGAGCUUAACUUGGGAAUUGCAUUCGAUACUGGAUGGCUAGAGUAUGGGAGAGGAUGGUAGAAUUCCAUGUGUAGCGGUGAAAUGCGUAGAGAUCUGGAGGAAUACCGAUGGCGAAGGCAGCCAUCUGGCCUAAUACUGACACUGAGGUGCGAAAGCAUGGGGAGCAAACAGGAUUAGAAACCCGAGUAGUCC
rnacentral:rRNA from 1 species